GGGCCAGACUCCUACGGGAGGCAGCAGUGGGGAAUCUUCCGCAAUGGGCGAAAGCCUGACGGAGCAACGCCGCGUGAUCGAAUGAAGGCCUUCGGGUUGUAAAGCUCUGUUGACAGGGACGAAUAAGCAAUGCGAAUAGUUUUGUGUAUGACGGUACCUGUUUAGAAAGCUCCGGCUAACUACGUGCCAGCAGCCGCGGUAAUACGUAGGGAGCAAGCGUUGUCCGGAUUUAUUGGGUUUAAAGGGUGCGUGGGCGGAUCGUUAGAGCAGUGGACAAAUUGGGGGGCUCAACCCCUUCCCGCCAUUGAAACUGGCGAUCUUGAGUGGAAGAGAAGUAUGCGGAAUGCGUGGUGUGGCGGUGAAAUGCAUAGAUAUCACGCAGAACCCCGAUUGCGAAGGCAGCAUGCCGGCUUCCGACUGACGCUGAAGCACGAGAGCGUGGGGAUCGAACAGGAUUAGAUACCCGUGUAC
rnacentral:rRNA from 1 species